GACGAACGCUGGCGGCGUGCUUAACACAUGCAAGUCGAACGGUGAAGGGACCGGUUUUUGCUGGUUCUGGAUGAGUGGCGAACGGGUGAGUAACACGUUAGUAACCUGCCCCCUUCUUCUGGAUAACCGCAUGAAAGUGUGUCUAAUACGGGAUAUUCUGCGCCUGCUGCAUGGUGGGUGUGGGAAAGCUAUUUUUUCGGUGGGGGGUGGGCUCGCGGCCUAUCAGCUUGUUGGUGGGGUGAUGGCCUACCAAGGCGGUGACGGGUAGCCGGCCUGAGAGGGUGGACGGUCACACUGGGACUGAGACACGGCCCAGACUCCUACGGGAGGCAGCAGUGGGGAAUAUUGCACAAUGGGCGCAAGCCUGAUGCAGCGACGCCGCGUGAGGGAUGGAGGCCUUCGGGUUGUAAACCUCUUUCGCCAGUGAAGCAGGCCUGUCCCUUUUGUGGGUGGGUUGACGGUAGCUGGAUAAGAAGCGCCGGCUAACUACGUG
rnacentral:rRNA from 1 species